GAGCGCGGAGCCGACGCGGGGUCAGCUGCCUGCGGGCGGAAAGGGGAAACGGCAAAGGAAAGGAAAGACCGCGGAGGCAACGGAGCCGCGUUUUUAGUUGCGGGGUGCAGGGGAGCCUGAAAACCAACCACACGCUUAUAGCCAGAGCAAUCACAAAGGAACAAGACCUUUAAGCCCGCGUCAAGCUCCAGGGAAAGCUUGUUUUCACCCUCUUGAUGAUCUGCCUCAAAUUCGGUGAUUCUCUGGGUUUCUCUCUCCAAGGCAAGCCCAGGGUUUUCAUGCAUUUGGCUAGAAAAAGGCACACUUUAAAGCCAGCCAGAAAUCCAGCUGUUAUCUCUCCAAGAAGGAUUUUGCCUGAAUACAGCCAGAAUUCUGUCAAAACAGGUUUUUAAAUCUCACAUAGUUAUGGAAAAGUUCUGAAGAGCUGCAGCUCUUCCUUAUUUGCAUAAAAGUGCAGGUCGCCCUGAUGUAGGAG